UAAGCGUGCGCAGGCGGUUAUGCAAGACAGAUGUGAAAUCCCCGGGCUCAACCUGGGAACUGCAUUUGUGACUGCAUAGCUAGAGUACGGUAGAGGGGGAUGGAAUUCCGCGUGUAGCAGUGAAAUGCGUAGAUAUGCGGAGGAACACCGAUGGCGAAGGCAAUCCCCUGGACCUGUACUGACGCUCAUGCACGAAAGCGUGGGGAGCAAACAGGAUUAGAUACCCGAGU
rnacentral:rRNA from 1 species